rnacentral:rRNA from 1 species
CUAUGCUGUAAACGGUGGGCGCUAGGUGUGGGGACCUUCCACGGUUUCUGUGCCGUAGCUAACGCUUUAAGCGCCCCGCCUGGGGAGUACGGCCGCAAGGCUAAAACUCAAAGGAAUUGACGGGGGCCCGCACAAGCGGCGGAGCAUGUGGAUUAAUUCGAUGCAACGCGAAGAACCUUACCUGGGCUUGACAUACACUAGAUUGGGCCAGAGAUGCGGAAGUGCCUUCGGGAGCUUUGAGACAGGUGCUGCAUGGCUGU